rnacentral:tRNA from 1 species
CUGCUAUAAUUUAAUUAAAUUAAAAUAAAAAGUUGCAAACUUUUAAAUAGAAGUGUCUUAGCAGU